rnacentral:rRNA from 1 species
UACGUAGGGGGCGAGCGUUGUCCGGAAUCAUUGGGCGUAAAGCGCGUGUAGGCGGCUCGAUAAGUCCGGUGUGAAACCUUGGGGCUCAACCCCAAGCCUGCACUGGAUACUGCCGUGACUCGAGUCCGGUAGGGGAGUGUGGAAUUCCCGGUGUAGCGGUGAAAUGCGCAGAUAUCGGGAGGAACACCAGUGGCGAAGGCGGCACUCUGGGCCGGUACUGACGCUGAGGAGCGAAAGCGUGGGGAGCGAACAGG